AGUUUGAUCAUGGCUCAGAUUGAACGCUGGCGGCAGGCUUAACACAUGCAAGUCGAACGAUGAUUACUAGCUUGCUAGUAUGAUUAGUGGCGAACGGGUGAGUAAUGCUUAGGAAUCUGCCUAUUAGUGGGGGACAACAUUCCGAAAGGAAUGCUAAUACCGCAUACGUCCUACGGGAGAAAGCAGGGGAUCUUUUGACCUUGCGCUAAUAGAUGAGCCUAAGUCGGAUUAGCUAGUUGGUGGGGUAAAGGCCUACCAAGGCGACGAUCUGUAGCUGGUCUGAGAGGAUGAUCAGCCACACUGGGACUGAGACACGGCCCAGACUCCUACGGGAGGCAGCAGUGGGGAAUAUUGGACAAUGGGCGAAAGCCUGAUCCAGCCAUGCCGCGUGUGUGAAGAAGGCCUUUUGGUNGUAAAGCACUUUAAGUGGGGAGGAAAAGCUAAUAAUUAAUACCUAUAGCCCUGACGUACC
rnacentral:rRNA from 1 species